AGUGAUUGUUGAAAGAGAUAGAACAUCAAAAGUCAAACCUAGUCAUGUAUUAACAUAAUGCUCGAAACAGAAUGAAAAAUAUGCCACUAGCACAAUCUUACUCAAGCUACAAGCAAAUUCACAGCACAACACACACAUCUCCUCACUACCUUUCCAAGCAAAAAUUACGUAGAACUCGCCACAAGCACAAGCCCCCAUAACCAGUUGCUCUGCUUCCGUUUGUAAUGACAUGGUCAAUGUCAAUGGCUUCUCUAGUCGGCUUACUCUCACUUUCGUGUAUCUCAUAUUUGAAACAGACAAGCUCACCAUUCAAAAGCUUGUUUAGCUGAACAACACUCAAAUGUAUCACCGUCGCUUACUCCAACUCAUAUAGGAACCUACCUACCUAAUACUAGCUUCUCAAUAUCCAAGCAACAAUGCCGGAUGAUGGAGGAAGAAGAAGUGAGAUUGAUGGGAACUGUGUAGAAUCUUAGGCAUUGUCACAAUGGUUCCUUAAAUUCCUCUGUUUUGUGUGUUUGGAUUUGAGC